UGUUUCGGCAAGGGGGUCAUCCCGACUUACCAACCCGAUGCAAACUGCGAAUACCGGAGAAUGUUAUCACGGGAGACACACGGCGGGUGCUAACGUCCGUCGUGAAGAGGGAAACAACCCAGACCGCCAGCUAAGGUCCCAAAGUCAUGGUUAAGUGGGAAACGAUGUGGGAAGGCCCAGACAGCCAGGAUGUUGGCUUAGAAGCAGCCAUCAUUUAAAGAAAGCGUAAUAGCUCACUGGUCGAGUCGGCCUGCGCGGAAGAUGUAACGGGGCUAAACCAUGCACCGAAGCUGCGGCAGCGACGCUUAUGCGUUGUUGGGUAGGGGAGCGUUCUGUAAGC
rnacentral:rRNA from 1 species